rnacentral:rRNA from 1 species
GACAGAGGGUGCAAACGUUGUUCGGAUUUACUGGGCGUAAAGCGCGUGUAGGCGGCUUUGCAAGUCGGAUGUGAAAGCCCACGGCUCAACCGUGGAAGUGCAUCCGAAACUGCAUGGCUUGAGUCUCGGAGAGGAAGGUGGAAUGCUUGGUGUAGAGGUGAAAUUCGUAGAUAUCAAGUAGAACACCUGCGGCGAAGGCGGCCUUCUGGACGAUGACUGACGCUGAGACGCGAAAGCGUGGGGAGCAAACAGG